rnacentral:rRNA from 1 species
CCUACGGGUGGCAGCAGUGGGGAAUAUUGCUCAAUGGGGGAAACCCUGAUCCAGCGACGUCGCGUGAGUGAAGAAGUAUUUCGGGAUGUAAAGCUCCAUUUGCAGGGAAGCAAAAAGACGGUACCUGACUAAGAAGCCCCGGCUAACUACGUGCCAGCAGCCGCGGUAAUACGUAGGGGGCAAGCGUUAUCCGGAUUUACUGGGCGUAAAGGGAGCGUAGACGGUGCGUCAAGUCUGGAGUGAAAGCCUGGGGCUUAAACCCGGGACUGCUUUGGAAACUGGCGCGCUAGAGUGCUGGAGAGGUAAGUGGAAUGCCUAGUGUAGCGGUGAAAUGCGUAGAUAUUAGGCGGAACACCAGUGGCGAAGGCAGCUUACUGGAGAGUAACUGACGUUGAGGCUCGAAAGCGUGGGGAGCAAACAGGAUUAGAUACCCUUGUAGUC